AGAGUUUGAUCAUGGCUCAGAACGAACGCUGGCGGCAGGCCUAACACAUGCAAGUCGAGCGAGACCUUCGGGUCUAGCGGCGGACGGGUUAGUAACGCGUGGGAACGUGCCCUUCACUACGGAAUAGUCCUGGGAAACUGGGUUUAAUACCGUAUACGCCCUUCGGGGGAAAGAAUUUCGGUGAAGGAUCGGCCCGCGUUGGAUUAGGUAGUUGGUGCGGUAACGGCGCACCAAGCCGACGAUCCAUAGCUGGUUUGAGAGGAUGAUCAGCAACACUGGGACUGAGACACGGCCCAGACUCCUACGGGAGGCAGCAGUGGGGAAUCUUAGACAAUGGGGGCAACCCUGAUCUAGCCAUGCCGCGUGAGUGACGAAGGCCCUAGGGUCGUAAAGCUCUUUCACCAGGGAAGAUAAUGACGGUACCUGGAGAAGAAACCCCGGCUAACUCCGUGCCUGCAGCCGCGGUAAUACGGAGGGGGUUA
rnacentral:rRNA from 1 species